GGAGAAGUCGUAACAAGGUUUCCGUAGGUGAACCUGCGGAAGGAUCAUUGGAUUCCGUGGUUAUGUGUUUGUUAUGCGUUCAUCCUUGGCCAAGACUUCAGUUUUGGUUGGAUCGUACGCAUAGCUUCCGGAUAUCACCAAACCCCGGCACGAAAAGUGUCAAGGAAAAUGCAACUAAACAGCCUGCUUUCGCCAACCCGGAGACGGUGUUUGUUCGGAAGCAGUGCUGCAAUGUAAAGUCUAAAACGACUCUCGGCAACGGAUAUCUCGGCUCUCGCAUCGAUGAAGAACGUAGCAAAAUGCGAUACUUGGUGUGAAUUGCAGAAUCCCGUGAACCAUCGAGUCUUUGAACGCAAGUUGCGCCCCAAGCCUUCUGGCCGAGGGCACGUCUGCCUGGGUGUCACAAAUCGUCGUCCCCCCAUCCUCUCGAGGAUAUGGGACGGAAGCUGAUCUCCCGUGUGUUACCGCACGCGGUUGGCCAAAAUCCGAGCUAAGGACGUCAGGAGCGUCUUGACAUGCGGUGGUGAAUUUAAUUCUCGUCAUAUAGUCAGACGUUCCGGUCCAAAAGCUCUUGAUGACCCAAAGUCCUCAACGCGACCCCAGGUCAGGCGGGAUCACCCGCUGAG
rnacentral:rRNA from 1 species